CACCGCGGUUAUACGAGAGACCCAAAUUGAUUUCUAACGGCGUAAAGGGUGGUUAAAAAUUUUUAUACUAGAGCCGAACUCAUCCCUGACUGUUAUACGUUACGGAAUAAAGAAGAACUAAAACGAAAGUAGCUCUAAAAUUUUGAACCCACGAAAGCUAGGAAA
rnacentral:rRNA from 1 species